UACGGAGGGGGGCUAGCGUUGUUCGGAAUUACUGGGCGUAAAGCGCGCGUAGGCGGCUUUGUAAGUUAGAGGUGAAAGCCCGGAGCUCAACUCCGGAAUUGCCUUUAAGACUGCAUCGCUAGAAUCAUGGAGAGGUGAGUGGAAUUCCGAGUGUAGAGGUGAAAUUCGUAGAUAUUCGGAAGAACACCAGUGGCGAAGGCGGCUCUCUGGGACGGUACUGACGCUGAGACGCGAAAGCGUGGGGAGCGAACAGG
rnacentral:rRNA from 1 species